rnacentral:rRNA from 1 species
AUUGAACGCUGGCGGCAUGCCUUACACAUGCAAGUCGAACGGCAGCACGGGAGCAAUCCUGGUGGCGAGUGGCGAACGGGUGAGUAAUAUAUCGGAACGUGCCCAGUCGUGGGGGAUAACGUAGCGAAAGCUACGCUAAUACCGCAUACGAUCUAUGGAUGAAAGCGGGGGAUCGCAAGACCUCGCGCGAUUGGAGCGGCCGAUAUCAGAUUAGGUAGUUGGUGGGGUAAAAAGCCUACAAGCCUUCGAUCUGUAGCUGGUCUGAGAGGGACGACCAGCCACACUGGAACUGAGACACGGUCCAGACUCC